UACAGAGGGUGCUAGCGUUGUUCGGAAUCAUUGGGCGUAAAGGGCGUGUAGGCGGUUUGUUAAGUCAUGUGUGAAAUCCCUCGGCUCAACUGAGGAAGUGCAUCCGAAACUGGCAGGCUUGAGUACUAAAGAGGGUCGCGGAAUUCCCGGUGUAGAGGUGAAAUUCGUAGAUAUCGGGAGGAACACCGGUGGCGAAGGCGGCGACCUGGGUAGAUACUGACGCUGAGGUGCGAAAGCGUGGGGAGCAAACAGGG
rnacentral:rRNA from 1 species